GACGAACGCUGGCGGCGUGCCUAAUACAUGCAAGUAGAACGCUGAAGAGAGGAGCUUGCUCUUCUUGGAUGAGUUGCGAACGGGUGAGUAACGCGUAGGUAACCUGCCUUGUAGCGGGGGAUAACUAUUGGAAACGAUAGCUAAUACCGCAUAACAAUGGAUGACUCAUGUCAUUUAUUUGAAAGGGGCAAAUGCUCCACUACAAGAUGGACCUGCGUUGUAUUAGCUAGUAGGUGAGGUAACGGCUCACCUAGGCGACGAUACAUAGCCGACCUGAGAGGGUGAUCGGCCACACUGGGACUGAGACACGGCCCAGACUCCUACGGGAGGCAGCAGUAGGGAAUCUUCGGCAAUGGGGGCAACCCUGACCGAGCAACGCCGCGUGAGUGAAGAAGGUUUUCGGAUCGUAAAGCUCUGUUGUAAGUCAAGAACGAGUGUGAGAGUGGAAAGUUCACACUGUGACGGUAGCUUACCAGAAAGGGACGGCUAACUACGUGCCAGCAGCCGCGGUAAUACGUAGGUCCCGAGCGUUGUCCGGAUUUAUUGGGCGUAAAGCGAGCGCAGGCGGUUUGAUAAGUCUGAAGUUAAAGGGCUGUGGCCCAACCAUAGUUCGCUUUUGGAAACUGUCAAAACUUGAGUGCAGAAGGGGAGAGCGGAAUUCCAUGUGUAGCGGGGAAAAUGAGUAUAUAUAUAGGAGGAACACCGGUGGCAAAAAGCAUCUCUUUGGUUU
rnacentral:rRNA from 1 species